AGCGAACGCUGGCGGCAGGCCUAACACAUGCAAGUCGAGCGCCGUAGCAAUACGGAGCGGCAGACGGGAUAGUAACACGUGGGUACGUGCCCUUUGGUUCGGAAUAACUCAGGGAAACUUGAGCUAAUACCGGAUAAGCCCUUACGGGGAAAGAUUUAUUGCCAUUGGAGCGGCCCGCGUCGGAUUAGCUAGUUGGUGAGGUAAUGGCUCACCAAGGCGACGAUCCGUAGCUGGUCUGAGAGGAUGACCAGCAUCACUGGGACUGAGACACGGCCCAGACUCCUACGGGAGGCAGCAGUGGGGAAUAUUGGACAAUGGGCGCAAGCCUGAUCCAGCCAUGCCGCGUGGAUGAUGAAGGCCCUAGGGUUGUAAAGUCCUUUUAACGGGGAAGAUAAUGACGGUACCCGUAGAAUAAGCCCCGGCUAACUUCGUGCCAGCCGCCGCAGUAA
rnacentral:rRNA from 1 species